GGCGGCUGUCUAUACGUGCAGUCGGACGGGAUCCAUCGGAGAGCUUGCUCGAAGAUGGUGAGAGUGGCGCACGGGUGCGUAACGCGUGAGCAACCUACCUCUAUCAGGGGGAUAGCCUCUCGAAAGAGAGAUUAACACCGCAUAACAUCAACAGUUCGCAUGUUCGGUUGAUUAAAUAUUUAUAGGAUAGAGAUGGGCUCGCGUGACAUUAGCUAGUUGGUAGGGUAACGGCCUACCAAGGCGACGAUGUCUAGGGGCUCUGAGAGGAGAAUCCCCCACACUGGUACUGAGACACGGACCAGACUCCUACGGGAGGCAGCAGUAAGGAAUAUUGGUCAAUGGGCGGAAGCCUGAACCAGCCAUGCCGCGUGCAGGAUGACUGCCCUAUGGGUUGUAAACUGCUUUUGUCCAGGAAUAAACCUAAAUACGUGUAUUUAGCUGAAUGUACUGGAAGAAUAAGGAUCGGCUAACUCCGUGCCAGCAGCCGCGGUAAUACGGAGGAUCCGAGCGUUAUCCGGAUUUAUUGGGUUUAAAGGGUGCGUAGGCGGCCUAUUAAGUCAGGGGUGAAAUACGGUGGCUCAACCAUCGCAGUGCCUUUGAUACUGAUGGGCUUGAAUCCAUUUGAAGUGGGCGGAAUAAGACAAGUAGCGGUGAAAUGCAUAGAUAUGUCUUAGAACUCCGAUUGCGAAGGCAGCUCACUAAGCUGGUAUUGACGCUGAUGCACGAAAGCGUGGGGAUCGAACAGGAUUAGAUACCCUGGUAGUCCACGCCCUAAACGAUGAUAACUCGAUGUUGGCGAUAGACAGCCAGCGUCCCAGCGAAAGCGUUAAGUUAUCCACCUGGGGAGUACGCCCGCAAGGGUGAAACUCAAAGGAAUUGACGGGGGCCCGCACAAGCGGAGGAGCAUGUGGUUUAAUUCGAUGAUACGCGAGGAACCUUACCCGGGCU
rnacentral:rRNA from 1 species